AACGAACGCUGGCGGCAGGCUUAACACAUGCAAGUCGAGCGCAUCCUUCGGGGUGAGCGGCAGACGGGUGAGUAACGCGUGGGAAUCUACCUUUUGCUACGGAAUAGCUCCGGGAAACUGGAAUUAAUACCGUAUGUGCCCUUAGGGGGAAAGAUUUAUCGGCAAGAGAUGAGCCCGCGUUGGAUUAGCUAGUUGGUGGGGUAAAGGCAUACCAAGGCGACGAUCCAUAGCUGGUCUGAGAGGAUGAUCAGCCACAUUGGGAGUGAGACACGGCCCAAACUCCUACGGGAGGCAGCAGUGGGGAAUAUUGGACAAUGGGCGCAAGCCUGAUCCAGCCAUGCCGCGUGAGUGAUGAAGGCCUUAGGGUUGUAAAGCUCUUUCACCGGAGAAGAUAAUGACGGUAUCCGGAGAAGAAGCCCCGGCUAACUUCGUG
rnacentral:rRNA from 1 species